AAGUCGUAACAAGGUUUCCGUAGGUGAACCUGCGGAAGGAUCAUUAAUGAAAUGCAAGGACGCUCUUUUUAGAGGUCCGACCAACUCAUUUACCUUUACACUGUGCACAUACUACUUUUUUACACCAAUUUUUAACGCAUUAGUUUAAGAAUGUAAAAUCAGUCUCGAAAGAGCAUAAAAUAAAUAAAA
rnacentral:misc_RNA from 1 species